GGUGUCUUGCUGUCAAUCGAUUAUACCCGCUAAUUGUUGAAGGCUUUGGGUUUCAAUGAUUGGAAAUGCCCCCUCCCCGAUCCCUUCGGUGCCUUAAGCAUCCCUGCCAAUUCCCCAUUAGGGUGGUUAAUUGGUAGCAGUGCGGCGAUCGAUAGGGGAUUGGCAGCCUACCAGCAUAACACAACCGAGGGGUUUGCCAAGGCUGAAAUAGGAAAUUGGAAAUGUUGGAAGUGCAGCAAUAGCUCGGGUGGCAGGGGGAGCCCGGAGCGUCGUGGUUCUAAGCCCUGCUUGGACACAGCGUGCUGCGGCACUGGAACUGCUGCAGGUGCCAUCGGAGCUCCAUCCAGCCCAGCAGAAGCUUCCCUGGGCUGGAGCAAAGCCGUUGCAUUUAACAGUCACCGGUGCAGCUGCCUGGCCUGUCGGAAACCACAGCGUGCUCCGGGGCUGGAUCAGGCCGGGCUUUGUGCCCCGGAGCAGCACGGAGCCGGGGGCUGAUGGCAGGAUGCUGGCUUCACGCAGGAUUGUUCCCCGGCCGCGUUACCACCGACACGCCCGGAGAUCCCCUCGUGCUGUGCCUCGACCACCCGCAGUGUUUUCUGCCGCAGAGCUGACGCAGCAGACCCUGCCAUGCUGCCUCCAUGCAGAGGCCAUGAGACGACGCUGCCGGGAAGCUUUGCCACCGCCACAGCCGCUCACCCCUCGCCGCCUUUCUCCAUCACAGACACUGCGAGCUCUCCGCAGGCAUUCAGUCAGCACUGGGCUCUGUGGAAGGAGGUGAAGAACAGACAACGCUCUGGCCACCACCUGCUUGGCUUUCCCUUGCUGCCCCAGCAACGAGUUGGAGGCAGCCUCAGUCCCUGGCCUCAUCCAUCAGCUCCAUUUUGCCUCCCUUUUGGCAGCCACCUCGCGGAGGCUCGCCGUGCUGUUGUGGCUCUCUGCAGUGCCACACUGUGGGCUGUUUGUUUCGGGUGUUUUUCCUGAGGGUAAAGGGGCAUCCUGAGAUACGGCCUCUUGCCUUGUGAGGGGUGCUGCUGUGUGUGUUUGGGCUGGACUGAGAAUAAACUAUCACUACUGUCUGCGUCUGAAAAA